CACGUAGGGUGCGAGCGUUGUCCGGAAUUAUUGGGCGUAAAGAGCUCGUAGGCGGUGUGCCGCGUCGGCCGUGAAAACCUGCAGCUUAACUGUGGGCUUGCGGUCGAUACGGGCAUCACUGGAGUUCGGCAGGAGAGACUGGAAUUCCUAGUGUAGGAGUGAAAUCCGUAGAUAUUAGGAGGAACACCGAUGGCGUAGGCAGAUAACUGGCUCAUUCCUGACACUAAGGCACGAAAGCGUGGGGAGCAAACAGG
rnacentral:rRNA from 1 species